UUCGUAGGCGGUGCGGCAAGUUGGGAGUGAAAUCUCUGGGCUCAACCCAGAGGCUGCUUCCAAAACUGCUGUGCUCGAGUGUGGGAGAGGCGCGUGGAAUUGCAGGUGUAGCGGUGAAAUGCGUAGAUAUCUGCAGGAACACCCGUGGCGAAAGCGGCGCGCUGGACCACUACUGACGCUGAGGAACGAAAGCUAGGGGAGCAAACAGGAUUAGAUACCCUGGUAGUCCUAGCCCUAAACGAUCAGGACUUGGGGUGGCACCCGUUCGGGUGUCGUCCCGGAGCUAACGCGUUAAGUCCUGCACCUGGGGAGUACGGUCGCAAGACUGAA
rnacentral:rRNA from 1 species